UCCAGGGCAUGUGCAUGCGCUCACAGGGUUUGACCGAGGCUUGGCUAGGAUUCUACCCAUUUUUGCUGGUGAGUAUUUCUCUUGUCUUUUCCCAUUCAUAGGUUAAGAGUGUUUACUAAUAGCAGAUGUUUUGCCAUUAUGUUGGCAGUUUUGGGCCUAUGAGAGGCUCCCAUGUUUGCGUCCUGUGAGUGUGUUAGGUUUAGAUACCUAUCCAUGAGGAUGACGAUGGCACCAUUCUAUUUUGCCGGAGGUCCCUGUAAUUAAGGGAUUCACUCACUGCCGUAUGCAGCUGGAGUUGCUGACGGCGGGCGGGUACCAUUACAUGGAUUCCCUAUUCAGGGGAGCAUUUGACCAUCGGCUUUGUGGAUGGACAUCCGACCAGAGUUUAGUAUUUGAUCUCUACCAGGAGAGUUCCACUCUUCACUAAUGGAGGCUG
rnacentral:lncRNA from 1 species